GCGGUCGUGGCGAAACGGUAGACGCGCAGCAUUGAGGGUGCUGUUCUUGUAAAAGAGUGGAAGUUCAAAUCUUCUCGACCGCACCA
rnacentral:tRNA from 1 species